UGUUCGGGUUGUCAUGCCAAUGGCACUGCCCGGUAGCUAAAUGCGGAAGAGAUAAGUGCUGAAAGCAUCUAAGCACGAAACUUGCCCCGAGAUGAGUUCUCCCUGAGACUAUAAGUCUCCUGAAGGAACGUUAAAGACGAUGACGUUGAUAGGCCGGGUGUGUAAGCGCAGCGAUGCGUUGAGCUAACCGGUACUAAUGAACCGUGAGGCUUAACCUUACAACGCCGAAG
rnacentral:rRNA from 1 species